UGCAUCGCUAUUCAAUUUGCGAAAUUUUUAAUUAAGCUUUUGUUUUUUCUUCUUUUUCUUUUCUUGUUGUGAAAAUUAAUCGAAGUAAACCAGUUGGAAAAACAACGCAACAACUUACCCUAAACGGAGGAAAACGGAAAGAAAGCAAACGAAAAACAAUCAGUUUUACCUGAUUGACAAGGACGCCUUCACCUGCGGAAUAAGCUUCCCAGACACCGAUGAGAAUAUCAGAUUGCUUGGUAAAGAAAGAAGAAAUCAACUUACACUGAGAACAAGCAAUACAGAAAGGUGAGACCCAUAAAUCCGAACACGGAAAGCAGGAUCGAGAUCACAAACGGGGCAGUCCAAUGACGGGAUUGAAGCACCAACUAUGAAGAAAUACGAAACUGCAUCUUGUGAUCAUUUCAGUUAGUUUUUUUUUAAGGAUACCUUCAGGCUGACGACAACAAUGACGCCAUUGUAGACUAGUGUUCCGAAACUCCAAAAGUCCAAAAUGAGACCACGUGAAUCAAAAGGUGUCUCUGACUCCCAAAGUAGUAUACAACCGAAAAAGAUGACCACCGAAUGCCAAAGACCUUAAAUGAAGACAUUGUAGAGAUUAGAAUGAACGACUAUGGAUCAUUCAAGGCUUUUCACGCACCUAAUAGAGUCCACUUGAAAAACUGAAA